rnacentral:rRNA from 1 species
UACGUAGGGGGCUAGCGUUGUCCGGAUUUAUUGGGCGUAAAGAGCGUGUAGGCGGCCAGGUAGGUCUGCUGUGAAAACUCGAGGCUCAACCUCGAGACGUCGGCGGAAACCAUCUGGCUAGAGUCCGGAAGAGGAGAGUGGAAUUCCUGGUGUAGCGGUGAAAUGCGCAGAUAUCAGGAAGAACACCCGUGGCGAAGGCGGCUCUCUGGGACGGUACUGACGCUGAGGCGCGAAAGCCAGGGGAGCAAACGGG